rnacentral:siRNA from 1 species
CAAGAUUGAUUACUUGAGCCGC